UGGGCUUAAGGGAUUAUCCUGCCUCAAUCACAGUCUCCCAAGUAGCUGAGAUUACAAGUGCUCACCACCGUGCCAGCCAGUUCAGUUUUUGAGAUCUGUCCCCUUUCACGAAGGAUUUAAGGCUAAAGAUUUAAGUUGUGAAGAUGAUGAUGGAUUGACUCUAUGAAUGGCACAUUUUUUUAUGCCUCCCUUUUCCCUUGUCCUUGGGCAGUGUCCUCCGACUGACUCUGUGCUUGGCCCUGUGACUUGCUUUGGCCAAUGGUACAGCAGCAAACUUGAUGCAAACACAACUUGAAAAAGAAGAGGACAGCCAAGUCAUCCCAGCCAAGGCCACCCUGGACCAGCCAGCCUCUUGCCAAGCUGCCAGUGACCACAGAGUCCAAUUAACAACAGCCAGUCCUGGCCCAGGGUGGAGCCAAGACUCUGAGGAGAGGGCUGAACUGUGAACCUAGAAGUACCAUCUCCCCCUGCACACGCCUUUGGUCAAGUUGACCCCAAGAAGAAGGACAAGUCCUCUGCACACCGAUGACACCAUACACACAGUCUGUGGCCCGGCUUUGGGAGACUGAUGGGACAAAGGAUGCUUUGCAUGAUCCUUGGUCUCUGAGCAAAUAUAUACGUGGGUUAACA
rnacentral:lncRNA from 1 species